AUUGAACGCUGGCGGCAUGCUUUACACAUGCAAGUCGAACGGCAGCACGGACUUCGGUCUGGUGGCGAGUGGCGAACGGGUGAGUAAUACAUCGGAACGUGCCCAGUUGUGGGGGAUAACUACUCGAAAGAGUAGCUAAUACCGCAUGAGAACUGAGGUUGAAAGCAGGGGAUCGUAAGACCUUGCGCAACUGGAGCGGCCGAUGGCAGAUUAGGUAGUUGGUGGGAUAAAAGCUUACCAAGCCGACGAUCUGUAGCUGGUCUGAGAGGACGACCAGCCACACUGGGACUGAGACACGGCCCAGACUCCUACGGGAGGCAGCAGUGGGGAAUUUUGGACAAUGGGCGAAAGCCUGAUCCAGCAAUGCCGCGUGCAGGAUGAAGGCCUUCGGGUUGUAAACUACUUUUGUACGGAACGAAAAGCCCUGGGUUAAUACCCUGGGGUCAUGACGGUACCGUAAGAAUAAGCACCGGCUAACUCUGUGCCAGCAGCCGCAGUAAGAC
rnacentral:rRNA from 1 species